UCUUCACGCUUCCCCCGCAGCGCGGAGCUCAGAGCACGGACUGUAGGGGUGAUGCGAAGGGGCGAGAGCUCCUCGAUGUUCUCCAUCAUCAUCACCACCACCACAGCACAAACAGUAAGUUGAGACGUGUUGUUGGGGUAAUUGAACGCAACCCCAGGAUGCACAACUGGCAGGAGAACGAAAUCCGAAGACUGCUGAGGAUCCGCAACUUGAUCGCGGGCACGGCGAGAACUCCGCGGUUUACCGGCGGAUAAACAGCUGCUGGCGGAGAGGGUCGUCCGCGGGUCACUGUACCACGAGCAGAAGACCCGCUGCGGGACCGAGCGCGUCGUCUAGCUGAUACGUAGACAGCGACGUGAUCUUCGAAAUGCCCAGGAGGGGAACCCGGUGAAGCGCCAUCCCCAGCACCUACACCCGCCACGCCCACUUCCGCACCGAAGUGCAGUUAGGGACGAAGUGGACGACAGAGGGCUUAACAAGCACCUGGGCCCAGCGGAGGUGGAUGACGACGAGGACCAGUACAGAACACGUGCACACAAUCAGCCCCCACACGGUGAUGGAGGAAGUCUCCACAUCAGUGUUGGCGACGGACGCCCAGAUCAGAGAGAUGGACGCCUGUUUGCAGAGGUUAAAGGAGCAUGUGAGGGAAAUGAAGAACAGUCUCAUGAGCCAGUUCAUAGCCAUGAAUGAAAGAAUAGGACGUGAUACCUCAAACUUGUGAAAGACUACUGUCCAAGUUUCCUUUGCCUUUGGCUCCUUCAGGCUGCUGACUGACUCGUUCUUGUGUGAAUGGCACUUGUUCACCACUUGUCCAGUGCCUCAGCCCAAAUUAACCUCAACUCUGUUCAGUUGUAGCUACUACUGAUCCAGGUCAUGUUCACACUUUUGUUUUCUGUGAGUUGAUUUCAGUCGUUAGUUAACCAGUACAUGCUUUUAGAUGCAUACUGUAAUUCAGUUUUAUCGUACUAGCAAAGUAAACGUAGAAAAUGAAUAGCUGGUCUUUCUGGUUCUGCCUUUGCUUUUUGAUAACACAGCCUACUGUGGAAGACUAAAUAGAGUGGCUUUCUUUGUGUCAAAGAGUGCUGUGUGUUUUCUUUUCUUUUAAAUUUCCCUGAGCGCUCUCACCUUCUGUGUAGCUGUGUGUAACUCAGAUUUUCAUCUUGUCUACAAAUGACUAAGCAAGAAUGAAAAUGCAGUAGGCAUGUUUGGCUUUUCUGAAAAAUUCUUUUCUAUAGAAAUGCGGGUGGUUUGAUCUACAUUCCUCUUCGCUCUCAGUGCUUUUGAACCUUUUAAGCUUCACCAUCAUGCUUCUGGGAUCUGAGUUGUGUGAGUCUGAAAAUCUGCAUUUGGUGGAUUAAUACCUGCAGCGUGAACAGAAAAUAAAAGAUAGCUGAGUUAGUCUAGUGUCUGACACGCGGGUGGGUGUAUUCCUCCACCAUCCAGGCCAGACAUGUUUGAGUGAACACUGAAAUGUAACACAAAGUAGGAGUGCGCUCAGCUCCAGAUCUUAAACAUGAAUCGCGUGCCCGGUCUUGACAAAUAUGAAAACAAACAGAAUACAGGCACCAGAUGGAAACAUUCAUUUUACUUACCAAAUAUUGAAAGCAUAUUUUGGCUGAGACAUCAUCAGGAUAGUCUGAUGUAUAAUAAGAUGAAAUAAUAUUUUAGAAUAUAGUAUAAUAAUUGUAUAGAAAUAUGAGGUGAGGUCCAAUCAACAAAGAGGACACACCGGCACGAUAGAGAGCAGGCUAUCCACCCAGAUGAGAAAACUGCCAUGAAAGAACAAAACAAAAAACAUCACGUCAUCAUCCACAGUUAAAUACUAAGUUAUAGCAGAAUAAAAAUCUAACAGACUUGUAUGAAGCUUUAUCCCAAUAUGUUUGUCUUUAUUUUGAACCGACCAAAACAGAAUCCCUUAUGAAGCCAAAUAUGUGCUCUGCUUGUUGAAAGGUUUCACCCUCUUUCACAGGGUCGGUGAUGGCAGGUGUGGACUCAACACGGAACCUGCUGCUCAGUCAUUUCCUGUGAUCUUGUGGAACUGUCAAAUUACAGGUACUCCUCUGUAGGUGAUGCUGUUUGGUGUAAUUGAGGGCAGUUUUUUCCUCACUCUUAUAGAUUAAGCAGCCUUACCCAACAAUGGAUAUUAAGAAGAACACGUAUACAUAUUGUGUGCCGGUUUGUGGAAACAGUGGGCCACACUCAUUUGUAAAAGCAGAACAAAUUGCAGUUGCUGCUUUGUGAUGUGUUUGGAGGAAAUGGUAAAAGCUUGUAAUGUGAUUUGACAUUUACAGGACAACAUGGGUUGUCACGAGCUUUCCGAGAAAGCAUUGUUGUCAUACAUAAACCAGGUAGUAGUACCAAGAGGACGAGAAAAACCACUGUUAUUUACUGUACAUAUGUACCACUGAAACCGUCGAUGGUAGAGCGCAUCAUAAGCAACGUGCCACAAUGGGCACUGCAAGAAAAAUAAUAACUUUAACUGUCAGUUUAAAGUUUGAGGUUUAUUAGAAAUUCCUGUUUAGCAAUACAAUUAGUUUUUAAAAAAACAACAACAACUACACACAUUUUAAAUAUUGAAAGUAAAAAAUAAUUUUCAGCUGCCUCAGUUGCUGUUUCAGGUGUCAUUCUUGGCUGACACGAAAUUCCCGGUUGCGUUUCCUGCUCACAGCAAUCCGGGAGAAAACGUGUCAUUGAGGAAAAACACCUCUGCAUCAGUCAGUCGAACCACUUUUGCAGACCGGCGACAGAGUGUCACAUGACCUUACAGGCGUUAGUUUCACUUUCUUCACUGAUUCAACAGAAACAAAACCACAGGUCUGCCCUGCGUGGGCCGUGAUGGUGAACAGCGAGACAGUAGCUGUUAUCAAAAUGGGUUUUCUCAGUGACUCAGCUGGGUAUUUUUACCCCAGAUGCUUUUAUAGCGUUCUUUACUGCCACUGGUGUUUUGCUUUUACUGUUUAAACAUGGUUUUUGUUCUUCGUGUGAGAGUUUUGAACUGACGUGACAUGAAUUCUGUCUUAAAAACAUUUCAAGGUGACCUGCAGUGUUGAAGCGUAAUGUCUGAUGUGUGGAAGGAAGGAGGAUGCCCCACCGGGCUGAUGUGUCGGGGGAUGUCUUGUGCGCCGUGGGAUGGAAACGGACCCCAUAACCAGCUGGGGCUCAGAAUCACAGCUGCAUUAUGGGUUCCGUUACAAUCCCACCCACAAACAGAGGGUUUCAGCACGGCUGGCCUCAGGUCAACACGGCUAAAA